GUGCAGGGGGCAGAUAAGACACAUCUGAGAUGCCUGAGGCUUGGCUGGGGGAGUUUCCUAGACCAGUGAGGACGCUGUGUGACUGAGUCUACUGCGGCUGCGCAGGUCCCAGAUUCUUCACCCACUGUCCCCGGCUGCUGCACCCCUGCACCUCCACGUCUGCCCCCUGCCCGGGGCCAGGGCCCAGCAGUCAUGACAGACACCCCAGUGGAGGAAUCCCUCUUCCAAAUCAUCCACUGCUUCCACCAGUAUGCAGCCCGGCAAGGCGAUGUGGAGACCCUGUCCCUGCAGGAGUUGCAGGCCCUGCUUGUGGACAACGUGCCCCGCUUCAUGGACAGCUUGGGCCGGAAGGAGCCGUACUAUAUCACAGAACUGUUCCAGGCUGCAGACAAGAACAAGGACAACCAGAUCUGCUUCGAUGAGUUCCACUACAUCUUGGGAAAGCUGGUGAAGGACUACCACCUGCAGUACCACCGGCAGCUGUGCGCUCACCACUGUGCUCAACACAGCCUCUACUAGAGGGAGCUCAGGCAGCCUCCUGCCCACCGGAGCCUGACCCAGGAGGAGGUGUGGCCUGCCUAUCAGGAACUGAAUGGAGAACCCAGCUGUGUGUGUCUCUGUGUGUGUGCACGUAUCUGUACAUGUCCGUGAAAAGGAGAGCAGUGUGAGAGAGAAUAAAGCAAUUUCAUACAUAUUUCCA
rnacentral:lncRNA from 1 species